ensembl:lncRNA CTBP1-DT CTBP1 divergent transcript
GAGCCUGGCGGGAAGCUCGCGGGGCUGCAGCCCGGCGGAGGCCCCGGGCCUGGUGUUCCGCACGUUCUAAACCGCCUGUCCCCGAGGAAGUCGGGCAGGGUCGGGCCGGACUCAGCGCCGCUGGCGGGAGCGCCGUCCGCCCCGAGGACCCUGCGGGCCCGGAAGCCGAGACAGGGCCGCCCACGUCAGCGCCUGGCGCGGGCCCGAACGUAAAUGGCGCUCCUCCGCGCCGCAGCCGCAGCCGCCCCGCUCCCUUCCCGCUCCGCCAGCUGCCGCCCUCCCGCGCUCGCUUCUCGCCCCGCGGCCUGGCCCGUGCGCCUCCGAGGCUGGCCAGGGGCACCGAGGCCGCGGGCCCCCCAUCGCCCCCACCCGAGCCCUGAUUUACCGUCCGAGAGCCGGCGGCACAUGGGACCCCGAGAGGAGAAGCGCGCCUGCCCCAAAACCACGGCAUGGAGACGGAAUGAUGCAGACUCCUAUCCGCGAGAUACCUGCUGUAAUUUCGCUGUGGUUCGUGAGGACGCGUCCUGGGCUGCCCUGAGAAGCCUACGUCUCCCCUUCGAGGCCCGGGAAGACCUCCAACCCCGCUGACAAUGCUGGGCCCUCAGCCAGACCUGCCCUGCGUGCCACGUUCUGUUCUAAGAUCGGGCUGCCGAGCUGUGGCCUGGAGGAAACCUGGCAGGUGUCACCAGAGCUUUGGGGAGGGUGAGGCCCUGUCGGGGAAGCCCAGUGGGAGUCAUGAAGGAGGGAACACGUGUGGAGCCCUUGUAGGGGGAGGGGCAGCCCUGCAGAGAUCUAAGAAAAAAUUCCAGAAAAAUGAGCAGCAACCUCCAAGGCCAGGCAUCGGUGCAGGGGACAAGGGGUCGUAGCUGGAGGGGCCUAGGUGAGGCUGCCGGGAAGGGACGAUGUGGUUGGUGGAGUGCACAGGCAGGGACCUCACUGGACUUUCCUGUCUGCUCAGCAUGGACAGGCAGCCCAGGAGAAGGCAGCACGUGGCCGGGUGCAGGGACGUACCACCCCCACUUCCCCAGGGGAGCUGGGGUCAGACGAGUCCCAGGCACUCCAUCCUCUGCAGCAAGUCAGGUUGUGAUUUACUAGGGGGUGGUGAAUAUAAUGGAGAGACUUCUGGGGAGGAAUUCCUGGCUCCCGCGUGGACUUGCAGAGCUCAACAGGCAGCCACGUGGCUGAGUGUCCAGCAAACAUCACAUAAGGCUUUGGGUCCUGCAGGUGGGGCUGCCAUGAGCAGCAAGCUCAGUCCAGAAGAACAGUUCCUCUCCAGGAUCCACUUCCUGCGCACUUUUAUGUGCAGUGUAGCUGGAGCAGAGCUCCCCGGAAUUCCACAGGCAACUGAGAACGGAGAGGGAUGCAGGCCAGCCAGGGAUCCAGCGUCUUCCCCAUCGUCACUCUCCAUGGCCUCCGUCUACACACAGUGUUCGUCUGCACAGCUUGUCAGCGCGUUAUCAUGACUUCUAUUUGGCACCGGCCCGUCUGUCCACUGUCCUGGCUUGUUCCAAGCGCUGCCUUCUCCAACUGGGGUCCUGGCUGCAGAGCUGUCUGCUCCCCACGUUGGGCAACUCCAGCCAAGAUUCCUACACCCAAAUGUGACCGUGUUGCUCACGAAGAAGGCUCAGCUUUGCGUGUGCCCAGCCGUGUGCACAGCUCGUCCCAACUCCUGCGGGUGGCACCUGCCUCUCCCACCUCCAGUCUUUCCCCUGUGAUGAGCAGAUGACCACCGCCCUCCAGGGUCAGCGUUUGGCUGUUUGUGUGCCUGCCCACCCGCCUCCCUGUGCCUGGGCCUGCCCUGUGCCUGCACACAGGAGUGGCUCAUGGCGUUUGCCCUACACGGAUGGGCUGUCCUGGGAGCUACUGGACAGUCACCUUGGUGGGAAUGCCAGAGGCAUGGGCAUUAGGUCCCCCCGGCCAGCCUCCGUUGCCACAUGGGCUAUUUUUGUCCAUCGCGUGGGACAACCUAGUAUUGGGGGAAAACUCAGUCCACUCUAAAGAAGCAUCGGCGUUUUGGAUGGACGAAUGCUGCUUCAUGCGACUCCAUGUCAAUGGACUAUUUUAUUCAACUCGGGUAUUUAUGAGUGUCUCCUCUGUGCCAGCCACGUGUGAAAGAAGAACUCCAAGUUACUGGACACCAGGACAAACCAGAACCAGCUGGAACCCUCUGGAAAGUUCCAGAACCACCAGCAUCAGGGUGGCCAAGACGUGGGCACUGCCAGACAGGGGACCAUGUGGGGCCAGAAGAAAUUAUAGGACAUAGCAGGUCUCAGACAUGACCAGAGACUGCUGCCAGUGGUGGAAGGCUUCCCUGAGCGUGAUGACCUGGCCACUCCACAGGAAGCCUCCACACCCAAGGUUAAAGGUGUCCAGCUGCGGCCAGGGUUCCGGGGUACCUGUGGAUCCCGUGACGUGGCACCGAAGAUCUGAGCUGUGCAGAGGAGCUGCACCACAGAGGCCAGGUUUCCGUGUGGAGAACGCGCAUAAUGGGAGGCCUUGAGCUGAGACCCAGCCCCCGACCCCCACCCCCACCCACCAGCAGGGGAUUCUCCUCAGGGCCUCACAGAGCACCACGUGGUGUCAUUGCUGGUCCUGCCAUAGCUCCCAGGACCAAUGCUUCCCAGAACUCCCUGCUACAUAAAUACAUCCGGUCCCUUUCCCUCGAGAUCUUGAAAAGUGAAGACUUCACUUGGCAGUAACGGUAAAACAUUUCAACAUGGUAAGUUGUCAUUUUAUGCACACAUGGAAUGGUGGCCCAUAAAGGGCCUGGGGGUCCAAUAUCCUACAUACUGGACUCCUCAUUAGUCCUCUGAGUCUUCUGUUCCCCAACACACUGCAUUGGGAUCAAACUGAAUUUGCAGCCAGGCAUCAUAGCUCAUGCCUGUAAUUCCAGCACUUUGGGAGGCUGAGAUAGAGGAUCACUUGAGGCCAGGAGUCCAAGACCAGCCUGGGGAACAUAACGAGACCUUGCCUCUAAAAAAAAAAUUUUAAAAAUUAGCCUGGUGUAGUGGGCAUGCCUAUAGUCUUAGCUACUAGGGAGGCUGAGGUAGGAGGAUCACUUGAGCCCAGGAGUUCAAAGUUAUAGUGAGCUAAGAGUGCAUCACAGCACUCCAGCCCGGGCAACAGAGCAAGACCCUGAUUCUAAACACACCUAUACACACACACACACACACCCCACCACCAACAACAAUGAAAAACCCUGAAUUUACAUCCUUCACGAUAAAGUGAUAGCUUCUGUGACAUUUGCACAGAAUUCUGAGUAAAGUUGCCUUUUCAGUCACAUCUGUUAAUGUUGACAAGACAUAAUCUAAAAAUCAAGAGGAUGAGAAUAGAAGGACCACUUCCCUUCUAGUGACCUCCUGGACCACACCAAGCACCAACAUCAUGAGGAUCCAAGGAAUCUCUGGAAAGUUCUAUCUCCAGAAGAUACCCUGAGAACACUUAGGCCCUCCCAGACCACAUGAAGAACCAACGUCAUAAGGAUCCAAGGCAUCCCUGGAAAGUUCCUUCUCCAGAAGAAGGAUCCAAGGCAUCUCUGGAAAGUUCCAUCUCCAGAAGAUUCCCUGAGAACACUUAGGCCCUCCCAGACCACACCAAGCACCAACAUCAUGAGGAUCCAAGGCGUCCCUGGAAAGUUCCCUCUCCAGAAGAUUCCCUGAGAAGACUUAGGCAUGAUCUUAAAUAAAUAUUCCUGUUGUUUAAAA